GGGGGGGGCACAGUAGGGAAUCUUCGGCAAUGGACGAAAGUCUGACCGAGCAACGCCGCGUGAGUGAAGAAGGUUUUCGGAUCGUAAAACUCUGUUGUUAGAGAAGAACAAGGACGUUAGUAACUGAACGUCCCCUGACGGUAUCUAACCAGAAAGCCACGGCUAACUACGUGCCAGCAGCCGCGGUAAUACGUAGGUGGCAAGCGUUGUCCGGAUUUAUUGGGCGUAAAGCGAGCGCAGGCGGUUUCUUAAGUCUGAUGUGAAAGCCCCCGGCUCAACCGGGGAGGGUCAUUGGAAACUGGGAGACUUGAGUGCAGAAGAGGAGAGUGGAAUUCCAUGUGUAGCGGUGAAAUGCGUAGAUAUAUGGAGGAACACCAGUGGCGAAGGCGGCUCUCUGGUCUGUAACUGACGCUGAGGCUCGAAAGCGUGGGGAGCAAACAGGAUUAGAUACCCUGGUAGUCCACGCCGUAAACGAUGAGUGCUAAGUGUUGGAGGGUUUCCGCCCUUCAGUGCUGCAGCAAACGCAUUAAGCACUCCGCCUGGGAGACAAACGCACAGG
rnacentral:rRNA from 1 species